UACAGAGGUGGCAAGCGUUGUUCGGAAUUACUGGGCGUAAAGGGCGCGUAGGCGGUUCGUUAAGUCCUGUGUGAAAUCCCCCGGCUCAACUGGGGAACUGCACAGGAAACUAGCGGGCUUGAGUUCGGGAGAGGGAAGCGGAAUUCCGGGUGUAGCGGUGAAAUGCGUAGAUAUCCGGAGGAACACCGGUGGCGAAGGCGGCUUCCUGGACCGACACUGACGCUGAG
rnacentral:rRNA from 1 species